rnacentral:rRNA from 1 species
GAUGAACGCUGGCGGCGUGCUUAACACAUGCAAGUCGAACGGAAAGGCCCAAGCUUGCUUGGGUACUCGAGUGGCGAACGGGUGAGUAACACGUGGGUGAUCUGCCCUGCACUUCGGGAUAAGCCUGGGAAACUGGGUCUAAUACCGGAUAGGACCACAUUUUGGAUGGUGUGGUGGAAAGUUUUUCGGUGUGGGAUGAGCUCGCGGCCUAUCAGCUUGUUGGUGGGGUAAUGGCCUACCAAGGCGUCGACGGGUAGCCGGCCUGAGAGGGUGUACGGCCACAUUGGGACUGAGAUACGGCCCAGACUCCUACGGGAGGCAGCAGUGGGGAAUAUUGCACAAUGGGCGCAAGCCUGAUGCAGCGACGCCGCGUGGGGGAUGACGGCCUUCGGGUUGUAAACGCCUUUCGCUAGGGACGAAGCGUUAUGUGACGGUACCUGGAGAAGAAGCACCGGCUAACUACGUG